UUACAUGUAAGGCGUCCGCUACAUUGCAAGUCUUACGUUUAGAUAAAUGAUCAAUUAAAACAUAAAAUUACAGGACAUAGCUUUUCUAUAUCAUAAACUUCAAAAACACCACUAUUUGUUAAAUUCCAUCCCCUGUUGAUAUCUUUGCAUCAAUGCUCGAGCCUGAACUUGAGCUUGUUGUGAAUCAAAAAAACGAGAUUGCUCAUUUUGAAUGUUGGGCGUUCCCGAGCGAUUUGAGGACCUCGCUAAGUAGUUAUCCGUUCGGAACUUUGAGUAGUUAUUGUUGGGAGGUCCCAUAGAAGUUGCUGAAAAUGUUUGAGAUAGAUUAGGAUCGGGUAUGUUAUGAGAAUUGUUUGAAGGAGCACCAGUAAACGAGUUCAAUAAGUCUUGUUGGGCCUUCAGACUAUUGGCUCCCUGCAUUGUAAUAUAAGAGCCCGAGGAAACAGAAUCUGAACGAGUUAAUGAUGGAUUGGCUUUCUCUUCUUGCUGCAUAGUCCCUGUAUUUCCAUGUAAGUCUGUGCCAUUUGCAUACGAAGACGAAUCCCCAUUUGAAGGAGGAUACGAUAGUGUAGAUGUCUGAGCGAUUUGAAAAUAUUGCCGGAGUUCUUUGUAUAACGGCUCGAGUUGAGGUAGACUUUCAGGACACGAAAGUGGCGGAGUUAAAACUUGCAUUUGACGGGGUGAAGCAAUUGAUACUACAAAAGCUAGAUUAGCUUUGAGACGUUGUAUAUAACUAGUAAAUGAAUUAGUAACAACGAAAAAAAUAUAAUGUAAUAAAAGAGAGACAGUGCGAAGCGCAAUUUGAGGAGCCGAAAAUGGAUACACACAAUGAAUAUCCUUCCGCAGCUAAGUGUGCACGUAAGCAAAACAUUUCAAUCACUUACCUGUUGAAAAGUUCAGUAGAUAAAGCCCGUUGCUCCAAUGUCGAAUUUUGCGCCGUCUUAAUAUGCUGAAGUUCUAAGCAUUUCCAUAAAAUCAAACGAUUAAUUUCUAAUAAUUUGUUCGCCUUUUCAACUUCCAUUGGAUUAACCUGUCCGGUUGGGCUCGCGGAGUUUACUAUCGGUGGACUUUUCGAAACAAAGCUCAUUAUUACAAACGUAGUUAACUUAAAAAGGAGAUAUAACUUAAAUAACCAGUUUUUU